rnacentral:tRNA from 1 species
GGGGAUUUAGCUCAGUGGUAGAGCACUUGCCUAGCAAGCUCUAGGCCCUAGGUUCAGUCCCCA